rnacentral:rRNA from 1 species
UUACGGUCAAAUCACGCUGAAACACCGGUUCUCGUACGAUCACCGAAGUUAAGCAUCGUAGAGCCAGGUUAGUACUUAGAUGGGGGACCGCUUGGGAACACCUGGUACUGUAAG